UACGUAGGGGGCUAGCGUUGUCCGGAAUCAUUGGGCGUAAAGCGCGUGUAGGCGGUCCGGUAAGUCCGCUGUGAAAGUCGAGGGCUCAACCCUCGAAUGCCGGUGGAUACUGUCGGGCUAGAGUGCGGAAGAGGCGAGUGGAAUUCCUGGUGUAGCGGUGAAAUGCGCAGAUAUCAGGAGGAACACCUAUUGCGAAGGCAGCUCGCUGGGACGUUACUGACGCUGAGACGCGAAAGCCAGGGGAGCGAACGGG
rnacentral:rRNA from 1 species